ACAUAUGCUUCAGGUUACAUACGCUUCAGGUUACAGACUCCUCUAACCCAGAAAUAGUACCUCGGGUUAAGAACUUUGCUUCAGGAUGAGAACAGAAUCGUGCUCCGGCGGCGCAGCGGCAGCGGGAGGCCCCAUUAGCUAAAGUGGUGCUUCAGGUUAAGAACAGUUUCAGGUUAAGAACGGACCUCUGGAACGAAUUAAGUACUUAACCCGAGGUACCACUGUAUAAGGCAAUUUCCUCUGUUCCUAUGCCAAAGACAUCCCUUGGCUCAGUUAAGAAAGUCUCUUAAAUAAGGCGAUAAUACCAAAUCCACUUUCUAGUUUUCAGCAUGCUAUACAAUCCUUUUAGCUUUAAAUGUCAAAACAAUCCCAAUAAUUAUUUUAAUAGUGGGAAGUGAGGCUUGUAAGGUAGAACUGGUCUAUCUCUCUCCAAGAGACUACACUAUUGAGAACUGAGGUGGGGAGGCAGGCUCUUAUUUAUCUAGGGAAAGCACCAGUGGUGGCUGUUGUUGUAGCAAUUCUUUCCUUACACAUUUUUUUAAUGAACUAUUUAAGUCAGCAUGUGUUGCUUUGUUGGCAGGAAGGACAGAUGUAUAUUACUUUAUUCACCCAAACGACAUAGUUCUAUCACUCAGUUUUAGCCUGAAGAGACUACCAUUUCUUAAAGUUCAUGCUCUCUUUCAGUCAUUUCUUUGUUUGGAGCCCCAGGGAAGGAACUAAACUACGCCAUCCUGUCUGACCAAGCUGCCAUGUAUAGCAUUUUGAAAUGCUGAGGAAGACUAAAGUCACACAGGCCAAAACCAGUUAACUCUCUGAUCCUGUGCACUACUGGAGCAGUUCAAAGAACAGGGCAUUUGGUUUAAGGUUUCCUGGUGGGAAAGUCUCAGAAGGUGAUGUUUGUGGACUGCUGCUCCGUCUCAUAGGAAAUAUUAUUUGCGUGUUCAGACCCAGACCCCCCCCCCCCCAAAUAAAUCCACACUUGACUCAAAUUUUGGUUUUGGUUUUUGGCAGAAUUUAGGCCACAACUUUAUUGAUUACAGAAAGUGACUGGUUGCAUAGGCUCUGGUUCGACUAGCUCCCUGCCAUGCAGGUAGCGCUGACCCAGGGUUCCAGCAUAGGUCAGCCAAGGGUGAACACCUGGAUAAGUGGAAAGCCAGGAACAGGCCAUCUCUGCCACCCAAAUGUCCCCCUGGACUCAGGCACGGGCACAACCCCCUCUCAGGGGUUGACCAAACCAUCGAGUCCCUGGAUUCCUUUAACGGAAUACCCUUCACAUAGGGGUGGCGAGAGUGUUCUCCCAUCCCUAUCACCUGAACCAGAGCCUGUUUGCAACCUUACAAGUUGUGACGAUUUGCUGCGUGGCAGGCGAAACCCAAAUGGCAACAGCCAAUCAGCCAAGUGGGGGAAAUUCUUGCCGUGCCCCUGUCCCAACGACAGACGACACACAACGGCAUAGCAAGGUCAAGCGCAAAACCCUAAAAGUAGGGAGAGGUAGGCAGGUGUUCCAAAUGCAUGCGCUGAAAGAGGAAGCUCUGGGUCACAUGCAUGGGUAUAAAUAGGUCCCUCAAACUGUUUGGACUGCGUUCCAUUGGCCAGAUUGCACCCAGCUACGAGGGACCUACUAAUCGGGUGUUGUGGCUGACCAAUCGUACCCACCCACAACACAGGGUGUCAGUUUCCAGGUCUCACCUCAAUACAUGCCCUCUUUAAGGGAGGACCCGAUUUGUGGUGCUGCAGGGUUCAGUGUUGAUCCUCAUGUUGUUUGACAUCCACAUGAAUGCACUAUUCUGAAAAGGAGAUAAGGAUCAAAAAUUUGAGGCUGUAAAGUUCCUGAAUUGGUUAUCUGGAGUGAGUAAUGGGAUGGAUGAAAGCAAGAAGCUAAAUCCAAACAAAAUAUAGUUAUUGACUACUGUCCAUCCAUUCAGUUGGGGAGGAUGUUGACCUGUGUUGGAUGGGAUUAUGUUCAGCUUUGCUAUUUGAGGGUCAGGCAGCAUUUGUAGUGAGGAAUGCUUUUUUACAGUGCUUAGUUAACAGGGAUUUGGUGACUCUGAUAAAUGCUUCAACUAUGAGUUUGUCAAGUCAUCUUUUAAAUAUAUUGAGAGAAGUUUCCAUGUAUUCCUACUCUCUGCUUCCUGUAUUUUUACCAGUUACUGAUCCGUAAGAGGACAUUUCCUCUUAUCCAUGAAUGCUUAGCUUACUGAGGAGUUUUUGGUGUGAGACAUUAUCAAAAGCUUGUUGAAAGCCUAAGUAUACAAUGUCAACUGGAUCACCUCUCACUAUAUACUUGCUGACACUCUCAAACAAAUCUAAAAGGUUAGCAAGCCAGGAUUUACUAAGCAUAAGUCCAUGAUUGUUAUAUUUCAGCAAGAUUUGUUCUUCUAUAUUCUUGGUAAGAUUACAUUUAAUAACGCUUUUCAUCAGUUUGCCCAGAACAGACAUUAAAUUAACCAGUCUGAAAUUUCCUGUAUCCCUUUUUAGUAAGUGGUGCAAUGUUGGCUACUUUCUAGGCCUUGGUUAUGGAGGCUAACCAUAGGGACAAGUUACAUAUUUUUAGUUACAUAUGCUGUGUUUAUUUUAGUUUCAAGAUUAGUAGUGUUUAGAAAUCAAGAGCUAGAAUGGGUGGGAGGAAGCUGAUAAGAAGAGCCAGCAAAGGGGUAUGUGAUUUUGAAGUCAACAUAAAUUCAAAGAAUUUGCAGCGACUGCACUGCUAUAAUUGAGGUGUGGCUACGGGAGCAUAAAUGAAUUCCAUUUCCAUAGUAAUAUGCUGGACUUUGAAAUGUUUUUACAUUUGUUCUUUCCUCUGUUGGCUGCUUCCUCAUUGCCAGGAUUAUUAGCAUGCUUUUUAGAAGGGGCUAUAUUGUGUAUUAUGAGUCUGUAUGCUGAAACAUUAUCUUAAUAUUCAAAAUGUAUCCCAGUAAACUUGUACAAAUGUAUCAAAAUAAAAUUAUUAAAUAAUAUAUUACAUAAAAAUGCCAAUAUUAGAUAAAAUCUAGACAACCUUCAUCUGAAACUAUGUAGGGAGACAUAUAAGCCAGUGCUGCCCAAUCUUCUGUACUUUGCAGCUUGCUCAAAGUAAGAGCACAUUAAGACUGCAACUUUAGUGAAGCAAAGUAACCAGAAUGUUUCUCAUAUUUUUGUCUACAAAGGAAUUUCAUUGGUAAAGCUCUCCCAUAAGCUGUUCAGCAAAAUAGUGAAGCCAUAAUAAAGAAGGCACAAUUUCAAGCUUUUUGAAGGGUAUUUUCUUUCUAUUAAAUUAUGUUAACCGUCAUUAAAAGAAUCUACAAUACAGUGCCUUGAGUAAUGGGGGUGAGAUCCCUAGGUUAAACACACACACACACACACACACACACAGAGAGAGAGAGAGAGAGAGAGAGAGAGAGAGAAAUACAUCUCUGUCAACCUAAACUGCUUCAAAACAGUGAUAUGUGACUUUUUGAAUGUCCAGUCCUAGUGCAACAAUAGCAUGCAUGAUCGGCCCACCUUGUGUGAUUACCAAAUUUAGAUAUUAUCUCUGCAGUGUGGGGUCUAAGCUGUAGAGUCGCCCCUCCUAAGCCUAAUUGUUGUGUGGGAAGGAUGAGUAGAGAAGGAAAGUUGUAGACCAGUUUCAAAUGCAUUAUAGGCUGGAUUUGGGAGGCAAGGGUCAGUGGUUCUCAAUACCUACUGUGGAAAAUUAACAUUGGGGAGGGGGUCUUAUUGACAAAAGGGUUUUAUAAUCUACUGAAUCUGUGAGCAAUGGUAUUUGUCCAUCAGACAAUAUUCAGAUUUAUCUGAUCUUAUUAUUAAAAGUUUCAAUAAAGGUCAUCUCUUGGGCAUAGAAGUCACCAGAAACAUUGCUUCUGAAUGGAGGCUUGAAUAAAAUUAAUGAUUCACUUUCAAAGAAUAAUUCAAAAUGUAUUUUACAGAACAAUCAAAGAAGCUACAAAUAAUGAAUAGAGAUGACUAUUGAUUACUGUUUGGGAAAACCCUGCAAAAGAGAGCUGAGUUAUUCCAUGUAAUUUCAGCACAAGUUGCGUCCUUUCUGCAAAUAAACAGAAGCAUCUGAUUAGCUGGCAGUGAAUUACUGGCCUGAGGGUUUAGUUUAUCUAAACACCAAGUUAAUUAGGUUCUAUUGUCAGAAGUGAAAAGAAAUCCCAUUUUGCUUAAAAUUAAGGAAACAAACAAAAAUAAAAUUCUGAACUGAACAGAAAAGAUAGCUUAUCAUAAAUGUGUUUCAGGCGGCAAAACUCUUUCCCGACUCUACACAAUAAAAGCUACUAGCACAACACAACCAGGUGAAGAUACACAUACAUUUACGUACUGUAUCUCGAUUUCAACAGUUCUCAUCCGCUCCAUCUUUUUAUAAAAGAACAACAACAACAGCAACAGCAACAGCAACAGAGGUCUUGCUUCCUCCACUCAGAUACAGGGUUGCUGCUUCUUCCUCCAGGGUGAAAAAUAUAUUAUUUUUUAUGUCACCUUUCUGCCUCAUAAGGGAUUCCAAGGUCAUUCAUAAUGCUGAUAUGAAGUAAAAGCAAUUUUAACAAAGCAAGUUUACAGCAGCAAACAACAGAAAAAUAAUGCCAGCAGCUCAAGCAAUCAGAUAAAAGCUAUCCAGUACUCCUUUGCCAUCUUCAAAUACUUCAUGCAAUCAAAAGGUCUUUAAUGGCCUUCUUAAAACCCAAAGUGAGCUAGCUACCCAAAGAGAUUCCACAGAAAGGACACCACAAAAGAAAAAGAGCCCUGAUCUUUGCAGCUGCCAACAGUAGAAGUAGGACUGUGUAUUAAAAAUAUGAGGGGAAACACAGAGGUAGAAGUUUAAGGAAGGGGAGCCCCACACAAUCUUCAUGCCGUUUGUUCUCUUUCAUUCUUUUCUUGCACUCCAUGACUCACGGGAAAUAAGAGAUGAUGAAAUGGAUGUCUCUCUUCUUUUGCAUGAUGCAAUGGUGUGCAUACUGAAUUCAUUUUCUGUGGUCUGUUGAAGUCAACUGUUAACAGACAAGAAUGAUCAACAGCAGACUUCAUUUUCUCCUCUGACACAACCACAAGGAUAAGUUUGGAAGCUUAUGUUUAGGUGUUAAGUUCACUGUAGCUUGCUGUCUGGACCUGAACAGGCUAUGGCUAAUCUGCUGGAAAUAAGCCAAUUUAAAUCCAUAGUUAAUGAAGCUGCUUGUUUUCACUGAUAAUAGUAAAGAUUAACCCCAAAUUAGGUUUCAGGCAAUGUGCUAAAUGGUGAUUAAUCUAAAACAUAGACAGAUAUUUCCGAUCUCUUUGUGCCCAUACUGUACUAAAACAGGAGACGGUAAUACUAAAGCACAAGACUCAUCUGGGCUCAUUCUCAUAAUGCUAAUUCAUGGCUUUACAUUAAUCAAAUUAAUAUUUCACUACAUAUCAAUGGAAAUAUGAAUACCUGAAAUGUAAAAUCCAACACAAAGUGUCAUAAAAAUGAUCCGCUCAUAGAUUACACUGUAGUUUUAUAGCCAAAGUUUUUUAAGCUAGUACAAAAACAGAAAACUAGAAGAGCUAAAACUAUUAGGCAUAACUGCAUAAUGUAUCCAUAUAACACUGAUAAAGUCUUUGUAAAAUUAAAGGUUAUUAAGGGCAUUUAAAAAAGCUGUUUGAAACAUUUAUAACUACUUUCCCUUGAAAAAACCAGCCGCCACCAAAUGAAUGAACUGUGAGAGGAGUUUCAGGGUUGACUUUGAACACCUUGAAAAUGUUACAAAACCAUUUGCAGUAUCCUAACCUGAGCUUCAAUGGGUCACAAUUUUCUCAAAAUGAUUGGAUAUUUCCAUGACAUAAAGAAAGAUGGAGCUUGUUAGAAACGUCCACGAUACUAAACACGUUAGAAAAUAGGACAUUUUUACAAGUGGCACUUAAAACUUGAGACAUGCAUUCUACUUCAUAAUAGUUCCAGCACUUCAGCUGAGAGCAAGCCAAGCUUAGUAUUCAAGGAAUGCAGGUAAGUAGAGUUUCUGCUUGAUUAUUAAGCUUUAGGGCCUAACUACAUGUGAUGCUAAAUGUUUAUUUAUUUCAUAGUAAGUAAAGAGGGUGAUUUUUAUAAGGACCACAGCAUAUGCUGAGAGAAAGGUUAACCCUUCCCUCCUCAGCUUCUGCAUCUGUGAAAACUGACCCCUAUGCCACAAUUAGUGAUAGGGAGAAAAGCUCAGAUUGGUAGCAAUGGGACAUUUUUCCAUCACUAGUUUUGGUGUGGGAGCAAUUUUCACAGAGAGAGAUUGCAGCUGACGACAGGAUGGUGAAAAGUCACUUGUCCACACUUAUUUAAUCUUUAAUAUAUAUUAAACUUCUAUACUACCCUGAAUCACAGGGUGGUUCACAAUGUGUGUGAUAUGUGUAUGUGUAUAUAACCUACUAUGAUCAUUAUAGAAGUCACUCCUGUAAUUAGUAAUUGAAUAAAUAAAAAUGCCUGAAUAUAUGAGAACAAGGAAAUUGAAGCUCAAUUUAGAACAGAAUGAGGCACUGGUAGUGGUUCCCCUGACCAGGUGAGUGGGAUACAUCCUGUUCUGGAGCUAAAGGAGCAGAUGCACAGCUUGUGUGUACUGUUGGAUCCAGCAUUGUAAUUGGAGGUCCUUCUACCAGCUUUAUCUGGUAGCCUAGCUCCAAUCUUAACUUCACAGGGAUAGCUUUCCAUCACUUGUCUAUGCUUUGGUAAUCCUGAGGUUGGAUUACUGCCAUGUGCUGUGCAUGGGACUGCCUCUGAAGACUGUUCAGUUAGUCUGACUGCCACAUUCUGCACUAUUAACAAAAACAGGAAGGGAUGAACAUAUAUCACCAGUUCUGGUCUUAUUGUACUGGCUUGCCAGAUAUUUUCUAGGCUGAAUUCAAAGUGCUGGUUUUAAGUCCCUACAUACUGUAAACUGCCCUGUGAUCUCAAAUGAAGGGUGGU